rnacentral:snoRNA from 1 species
AACCAAUGCUCUUUGUCAGGAUGUUUUCCUUCCGAAUUGGAAAUACCACAUGGAAAUGUCUGUUACAGGAUUGGGAAAUAAAAUUGAUUCUAUGGGAAAGUUUGUUCUAAGCUUCUCGAUAGAAGAAGGCAAGUGAUAAGCGUUUUGCGGGUCUACUUCGUCUUUAUGAUAGGAGCAUAUGAUAACUCGAAGGGAAGUGGGUAUUCAACCAUUCUCUCCUCUAUCAAUCUGCUCUACAUUU